rnacentral:rRNA from 1 species
UACGUAGGGAGCAAGCGUUGUCCGGAAUCAUUGGGCGUAAAGCGCGCGUAGGUGGCCUCAUAAGUCCGCUGUGAAAGUCAAAGGCUCAACCUUUGAAAGCCGGUGGAUACUGUGGGGCUAGAGUACGGAAGAGGCGAGUGGAAUUCCUGGUGUAGCGGUGGAAUGCGCAGAUAUCAGGAGGAACACCGGUGGUGUAGACGGCUUUCUGGACCGUAACUGACGCUGAGACACGAAAGCGUGGGUAGCAAACAGG